AGAACGAAUUGGAAUUCCAACAUCGAAGCAGACAUGGAGCUGCUGGUGGAAGCCCAUGUCAAUGGCUGCAUUUUUUCUUCUUCUCCAGCCACGUAAGAGCGAACGGCGUUUGUGCCAAGGAAAAUAUGCAAAACACAUCUUUUGUGUGCUUUAGAUCGUGAAGAAAGGAAAAAUUAAGCAGAGACCAAAAAUAGAACACAAUGAUGAUGUCCCUGCGUCCCAAGUUCUCCAUUUCAAACAGGCAACCAGCAGCAAAGUGCUUUUCUCGCAUUAUUUAUCAUUCCUGAUUUGCUUAUACGGACACGCAGAACCGAAGGAGAAACACAUUUUGUCCCGUCUUUAUCCUCUGUGUGCUGCUGCUGCUGCUGCUAUCGGUGGUAUCGCGUCGUGCAGCAUCCCGUCCGUAUCGAAGAAAACCAUUCUUCCGAUCGAACGUCGCUUCCAAUAGUUAUCGCGCGUCCUAAUGACACACUUGGAUGGGAUGACGCGAAGGACAAACUGUUUUUCUUCUGCCGUCAAUGGGAUAGAAGGCAAGUCAUUUAUCAGCGUCCAUUACGACGACCUACAACAGGGCGUUUGGUGCUCAUUUUCACUUGUAUUGUUGUAUUAAUGAAAUGGGAUUUUUAUUGAAACCUGACAGACGUUGUCCUUGAGUAAUAGAUAUGGUGGAGGCGGCGAGAAGGACAACGUCUAUCGAUCAGGUGGAACACGGCCACCGUGUGCUAGCUGCUCGGGCUUUCUCGGCCAAAAGUACACAGCGAAAAAGCGUUCUUACAGUAAAGCCCCAGAUGCUGCUCUCUAUGUACACAGCGCCUCGCGUAGUUAUCCUCCACAGACAAUAAAUUGUUUCAAUUUUUCUUGCCAAAACACGUUUGACAUGUUUGUUUGUUCGUUGUUUUGGAGAGAAUGUGCAGAGUCCAUUUUUUAUCAUAAUCCAGGAUCUAAAAAUAUAAAAAAAGCUUUUUAAAAAACGUCCUCCUAAUGAAACAGGGAUGUUUUGAACGGAAACAACGCCAGAUAGCAAUUUGAAAAACAUAAUUUUCUACCACAGUCCACUGGCGAUGAAGCAAAUUGGGUUUCGUGCUGUUGUUUUGCUUGGUGUGUGUGUGUUUUUUGCUGGAGUGCGUUUUCUGAGAAAUUGUGAUUUUGGAAUUGAUUGCUUUUGAUUAUUUUUUCUGCUUCUCUCUCUCCCUCUC